GACGAACGCUGGCGGCGUGCUUAACACAUGCAAGUCGAACGGAAAGGCCCUGCUUUUGUGGGGUGCUCGAGUGGCGAACGGGUGAGUAACACGUGAGUAACCUGCCCUUGACUUUGGGAUAACUUCAGGAAACUGGGGCUAAUACCGGCUAGGAGCUCCUGCUGCAUGGUGGGGGUUGGAAAGUUUCGGCGGUUGGGGAUGGACUCGCGGCUUAUCAGCUUGUUGGUGGGGUAGUGGCUUACCAAGGCUUUGACGGGUAGCCGGCCUGAGAGGGUGACCGGCCACAUUGGGACUGAGAGACGGCCCAGACUCCUACGGGAGGCAGCAGUGGGGAAUAUUGCACAAUGGGCGGAAGCCUGAUGCAGCAACGCCGCGUGCGGGAUGACGGCCUUCGGGUUGGAAACCGCUUUCGCCUGUGACGAAGCGUGAGUGACGGUAAUGGGUAAAGAAGCACCGGCUAACUACGUG
rnacentral:rRNA from 1 species